GGAGCCCAGGUGAUAUGUUGGGCACAGAGCAGGGCGGCUGAGGGCCACGAAUCAAUGAGGGAGCGCUGUCAAAGAGAAAAACGGGACAUUCCCCCGACCACUCCCACCACUGGCUUUAAGAGCUGUGGCAAGGAGAAAUCGUCUGGGACCUGGCACGCCAGUUGGAGUGGAUUCUGUUGUCUGCAACAGGGAAAGAACAUAUAUCAUGAAGGAGGACUAUUAUGUAUAAAACGUUUGUUUAGAUGAAGCAGAGGGUACACCUGAUUUUGUCCUAAAUGUAUUCUUUAGACCACAGGAAAUGGAAAAGAGUGCAAGAUGAGCAGCUUUAGCUCU